CCGCCGGCGACCGGCGCACGGGUGAGUAACACGUAUGCAACCUGGCCGUGACAGAUGGAUAACCGGGAGAAAUCCCGCCUAAUACAACAUAAUGCCGGGAGGGGACAUCCCCUGCCGGCCAAAGGGGGCGACCCCGGUCACGGAUGGGCAUGCGGCGCAUUAGGUAGUUGGUGGGGCAACGGCCCACCAAGCCGACGAUGCGUGGGGGUUCUGAGAGGAAGGUCCCCCACAUUGGAACUGAGACACGGUCCAAACUCCUACGGGAGGCAGCAG
rnacentral:rRNA from 1 species